GGAUUAGCUUUGCUGUUUGGCCCGGAGCUUUGCAAUGACACCCAUCGGCUCGAUUGGAUGACC
rnacentral:snoRNA from 1 species